rnacentral:rRNA from 1 species
CCUACGGUGUGCAGCAGUGGGGGAUAUUGCACAAUGGGGGAAACCCUGAUGCAGCGACGCCGCGUGAGUGAAGAAGUUUCUCGGUAUGUUAAGCUCUUUUCCCAGGAACCAGACAUGACGGUACCUGACUAAGAAGCCCCGGCUAACUACGUGCCAGCAGCCGCGGUAAUACGUAGGGGGCAAGCGUUUUCCGGAAUCACUGGGUGUAAAGGGAGCGUAGACGGCUGUGCAAGUCUGAAGGGAAAGGCGGGGGCCCAACCCCUGGACUGCUUUUAGAACUGUACGGCUGGAGUGCAGUAGAGGUAAGUGGAAGUCCUAGUGUAGCGGUGAAAUGCGUAGAUAUUAGGAGGAACACCAGUGGCGAAGGCGGCGUACUGGACUUUAACUGACGUUGAGGCUCGAAAGCGUGGGGAGCAAACAGGAUUAGAUACCCGUGUAGUC